rnacentral:rRNA from 1 species
UACGAGGGGGCUAGCGUUGCUCGGAAUCACUGGGCGUAAAGCGCACGUAGGCGGAUUGCUAAGUCAGGGGUGAAAUCCUGGAGCUCAACUCCAGAACUGCCUUGACUACUGGCGAUCUUGAGUCCGGGAGAGGUCGAGUGGAACUGCGAGUGUAGAGGUGAAAUUCGUAGAUAUUCGCAAGAACACCAGUGGCGAAGGCGGCUCACUGGCCCGGUACUGACGCUGAGGUGCGAAAGCGUGGGGAGCAAACAGGG